AGUGAACGCUGGCGGUAGGCCUAACACAUGCAAGUCGAACGGCAGCACAGUAAGAGCUUGCUCUUACGGGUGGCGAGUGGCGGACGGGUGAGGAAUACAUCGGAAUCUACUUUUUCGUGGGGGAUAACGUAGGGAAACUUACGCUAAUACCGCAUACGACCUACGGGUGAAAGCAGGGGAUCUUCGGACCUUGCGCGAUUGAAUGAGCCGAUGUCGGAUUAGCUAGUUGGCGGGGUAAAGGCCCACCAAGGCGACGAUCCGUAGCUGGUCUGAGAGGAUGAUCAGCCGCACUGGAACUGAGACACGGUCCAGACGCCUACGGGAGGCAGCAGUGGGGAAUAUUGGACAAUGGGCGCAAGCCUGAUCCAGCCAUACCGCGUGGGUGAAGAAGGCCUUCGGGUUGUAAAGCCCUUUUGUUGGGAAAGAAAAGCAGCAGGUUAAUACCCCGCUGUUCUGACGGUACCCAAAGAAUAAGCACCGGCUAACUUCGU
rnacentral:rRNA from 1 species